GCGGAAGUGUCGGAACUGGCAGACGAGCAAGACUAAGGAUCUUGUAACAGCAAUGUUGUGUGGGUUCAAGUCCCAUCUUCCGCA
rnacentral:tRNA from 1 species